AUGACCAACGGCAUUACGAUGGACCCCGUUCACUCUGAAGCUGAUAAAAGCUCACCAACAAGAUUGGAGAUUAUUCAAGCAGUCCCCAACCAGGAUAAUGGGUCACAAACUGAAGAAGUGAUGAACUGCGAGGACGAUGAUAAUGAACCAACGGUUGAGCAGUUGGCCUAUGCUGCAAAUAUGAUUAGAUGUCUAGAAGAAAGCGGGAAGGAAAACCCUACAACUCUGCUUAUCACCAUGAAGAGGCUGAACCUGCCAAGAAGGCCCGAGCAGAGUUUCAUGAGGAGGCAGGAACUAGCACGGAGGCCGUGGCCAAGCAGCAUAAAGAGCCAGAAGCUGGAGGCCCUGCCAGAGCAACCGGGGGACCUUGAGGUUGUCAAGAAGGCCCUAGCAAAGCAGCAGGAAGAACUUGAAGCUAUCAAGACAGCCCUUGCAGAGCAGCGGCAAGAACUUGAAUUUGUCAAGAAGGCCCUACCAGUGCACAAGGAUGAACUUGAAGAGUAUGGACCCACAUGUAAGAAGCCACGUCUCCCACCUCCGGUCCAACAUGCGUCCACCUCAAUUAUCAUCGGAAAUGGGGGCGCCUUUUUGGGACUUGCUGUGGAUGCAAAGGAAGAAGCCAAAGAAUGUCUCCCCCUCCUCUAUGUUGCUUCCAAGAGGAAAAUUUGGACGGUGAGGGAAGUGCUACUCGACAACACAUGGGUUUACAAAUUUUACACUUCCAUUGGGCUCACCAUGGAGCACAUCGUCGAGUCUGUGGACCUUUGGGCUCACCUUGAUCACAUCCGACUUCGCGAUGAUGCUGAAAGCGAUAUUACUGGGAAACUCGCAAUGAAAGAUGGACCCGAGAAACCCAAGUCCUUCCGGUUUGAGAACCACCAGACCAAGAUGUCGGGAUUCCAAAAGACGAAAUCUAGGAGGAGAAAAAAUUCGAGAAUUACCAAGCCGAAGGAGAGCGAUGCUAAUACCCACUACUUCCACCUUCGCGCUAACCACCGAAGGAGGAAGAACUUUAUCCACCGUCUCAAGCAUAACAGUGGCUGGACUACAGAGCACAACCUGAAGGAGAAGGAUUUGGACGUGCCUAUCACGGAGGAGGAGGUGAAGGCUGCGGUUUUUGCUAUGAGUAAUGACAAAGCUCCGGGGCCGGACGACUUCACUGCCAACCAUACCUCCUUCCGAAUGAAAUAUCUUGGACUGUCGUUGUCGACCAAGAGACUAAAAAGAAUCCAUUUUCAGCUCCUUGAGGAUAAGAUUGCUACCCAACUUACGCCUUGGAUGAGUAAGCACGUGGUGUCGCCAGGAAGGUUCGUAUUGGUCAAGUCGGUCAUCACAGCAAUUGCCAUAUAUUACUUGACGACGCUAAACCUACCUACUAAGGUCAUGAAGAAGAUUGACUCCAUUCAGCGUGCAUACCUUUGGGCGGGUUGUGACAAGGUCGCGAGUGGGAAAUGCAAGAUCAACUUGGAGCAUGUGUGCAAAUCCAAACCUUGGGUCAACCUUGGGAACCCUUGUGGGGUUAGAGACAAUGAUAUUUUCGUCGCUGCCACCAAGGUUAUCAUUGGAAAUGGUCUCCAAGCCUCAUUUUGGAACUCUUCCUGGCUGGAUGGCAUGAGACCUAAAGAUGUCGCGCCAAAAAUCUUUGACCUUUCUACAAGAAAAAACUGCUCCGUGAAGAAGGCCUUGCAUAAUAAUUUCUUGGUUUCCAAUUUGGAUAUUAGUGGAAAUCUCAAUGUGGGACAUAUGUCCGAGUUCGUCAACCUUUGGGGGAAACUCUCGCUCGUCAACCUCAACCCUGUGGAGCUUGACUCAAUUACAUGGAAGCUCACCAAUGAUGGCUAA
rnacentral:rRNA from 1 species